ensembl:lncRNA
AAGAUAAGACAGUGGUAUAGAACAACACAGGCCUGCAGAUGGGCUGUAAAAGAUAAGACAGUGGUAUAGAACAACACGGGUGGGGCCUGCAGGUAGGCUGUAAAAGAAAAGACAGUGGUAUAGAACAACACAGGCCUGCAGGUAGGCUGUAAAAGAUAAGACAGUGGUAUAGAACAACACAGGUGGGGCCUGCAGGUAGGCUGCAGAGGGAAAAGACAGUGGUAUAGAACAACACAGGCCUGCAGGUAGGCUGUAAAAGAUAAGACAGUGGUAUAGAACAACACAGGUGGGGCCUGCAGGUAGGCUGUAAAAGAUAAGACAGUGGUAUAGAACAACACGGGUGGGGCCUGCAGGUAGGCUGUAAAAGAUAAGACAGUGGUAUAGAACAACACGGGUGGGGCCUGCAGGUGGGCUGUAAAAGAUAAGACAGUGGUAUAGAACAACACAGGUGGGGC